UUCAAUUUAUUGUUAUUUAUGUAUUCAUUUAUUUUAUUAUUGCAAUAACUAGAAAUUUACGAGUAACCUUUAGAAAAUGUAUUAAUUAUUUAAAGAUGACAAUAAUUUUAUUACGUAGAACGGAUCGCAAUGUUUUGACAACAGCAACAGAGCACUUGUAUAAACUAUCAACAAUUGAAAAUUUUAAACCACUUUUUCUCUUUUCUGUUUCUGUUUCCAACCAAAAUCCUUCCAUCCUGUACGGUGAGAAUGAAUUCAAAAGAAGGAACCGUAUUUUGAAACACACGGUAUUAAAUGUGAUCCUGCCGCUGAUCAUUACAAACUUGCAACCUCAUAACAACAGAGGAUCGCCAAACCUACCGCAAUUGCAAAUACUUAUUGCAUUAAGGCAUAAAAAUGCAACUGGAUGUUUUCAGAUGGUGUGUGGUGAUCUGAAAGCCAGCAUAAGCCAAUCUACAGUCUGUUUAAUUAUAAAUAAAGUCUCUGCAGAGUUGAGUAAAUUACUUCCUAGAUUUGUAAAUUUUCCAAGAAAUAUGAACACAGCCAAAACGAAGUUUGAAGAAUUAGGAAGAUCUAAUACUCACCAUGGCCUAAACAGUAUAAUCGGAGCUAUUGACUGCACCCAUAUAAAAAUUAAUAGACCCAAAGGUAUCGCUCACUCUGAAGCAUACAGAAAUAAAAAAGGGUAUUUUUCUGUAAAUGUGCAAGCAAUAAUAGAGCCUGAUAUGGAAAUAUUUGCUAUAGUGACUAGGUGGCCUGGCAGUUCACACAACAGCAGGAUAUUUAGAAAAUGCCUGUUUUAGUAGGUGACAGCGGUUAUCCAGCACUUAACUUCAUGUUAACAACACUUUUAAAUCCAAUGACAAGAGCUGACAAUAUUUAUAAUUAUUCUCAAAUAAGAACUAGGCAUAUUUUUUAAAGAUUUUUCGGAGUGUGAAAAAGGAAAUUUCCAUGGUUACAGCUAGGACUACAGUCAAAAUUGACAAAUACUAGUUAUAUAUAAUUAUAGCUUGUGCUGUAUUGCAUAAUAUAGGUACAUAUACAGAGAGGGGAUGCUUAUGAUGAUGGUGAUCUUGCUGACAGCAGAAGUUGAGUAACACAGAAACAAUGAAAGAUCUCCUACAGGUCUAGCAUUCCGGCAAUCUGUGAUUGCUCAAUUUAACUAGGUAAUUUGUUUGGUAAUAAAGAAUAUCAAAACAAAA